rnacentral:rRNA from 1 species
CCCUUAGAUGUUCUGGGCCGCACACGCGCUACACUGAAGGAGGCAGCGUGUACUCCUGGAUCGAAAGAUUUGGGUAACCCGCGAAUCUCCUUCGUGCUAGGGAUUGAGGUUUGCAAUUAUCCUUCAUGAACGAGGAAUUCCCAGUAAGUACAAGUCAUAAGCUUGCGCUGACUACGUCCCUGCCCUUUGUACACACCGCCCGUCGCUACUACCGAUUGAAUGAUUUAGUGAGGACUUCGGACUGGGACCGAUGCGGCUUUCGGGCUGCGUCGGUAUUCUGGAAAGAUGUCCAAACUGUAUCAUUUAGAGGAAGUAAAAGUCGUAACA